rnacentral:rRNA from 1 species
UACAGAGACUGCAAGCGUUAUUCGGAUUCACUGGGCGUAAAGGGUGCGCAGGCGGCCGGGUGUGUCAGAUGUGAAAUCCCGAGGCUCAACCUCGGAACUGCGUCUGAAACUACUCGGCUAGAGUACUGGAGAGGGUAACGGAAUUCACGGUGUAGCAGUGAAAUGCGUAGAUAUCGUGAGGAACACCAGAGGCGAAGGCGGCGCCCUGGCUCGCAACUGACGCUCAGACACGACAGCAUGGGGAGCGAACGGG